GGAGAGAUGGCUCAGUGGUUAANAGCACUGGCUGCUCUUCCAGAGGACCUGGGUUCAAUUCCCAGCACCC
rnacentral:tRNA from 1 species